UGGGGAAUUUUGGACAAUGGGCGCAAGCCUGAUCCAGCCAUGCCGCGUGCGGGAAGAAGGCCUUCGGGUUGUAAACCGCUUUUGUCAGGGAAGAAAUCUUCUGAGUUAAUACCUCGGGAGGAUGACGGUACCUGAAGAAUAAGCACCGGCUAACUACGUGCCAGCAGCCGCGGUAAUACGUAGGGUGCAAGCGUUAAUCGGAAUUACUGGGCGUAAAGCGUGCGCAGGCGGUUUUGUAAGACAGAGGUGAAAUCCCCGGGCUCAACCUGGGAGCUGCCUUUGUGACUGCAAGGCUUGAGUGCGGCAGAGGGGGAUGGAAUUCCGCGUGUAGCAGUGAAAUGCGUAGAUAUGCGGAGGAACACCGAUGGCGAAGGCAAUCCCCUGGGCCUGCACUGACGCUCAUGCACGAAAGCGUGGGGAGCAAACAGGAUUAGAUAGCCCUGGUAGUCCACGCCCUAAAACGAUGUCAACUGGUUGUUGGGAAGGUUCCUUCUCAGUAACGUAGCUAACGCGUGAAGUUG
rnacentral:rRNA from 1 species